rnacentral:lncRNA from 1 species
AAUUAGUACAAGAUUUCUGAAGGGAAUCUGGCAAUGUGUAUCAAGAAACAACAACAAAAAAUUAUACCCUUUGAACCAGUUUGGGGCAGGAAUGUAUACAUAAGUCUGGAACAUCUUGCCACACCAGACACAAGGAUCAUCUGUUAGCGAUGACAACAGAAGGAUCAUCUCAGAAGGACUCAGGAGCCAAACUAAAUACACUCUCCCUGCCAAAGGAAAUACAUUACAGCCCAGUGCUUCCUACAGGAACUGAAAAACCAGAUGGCCUGGAUUUGAAUUCCGGCUUCCACCUCCUACAGGCUCUGUGAGCUUGGCAAGCUCCUUAACCUCCCUGUGCCUCAGUUUCCUCGGCUGUAAGAUGGGGACAA